rnacentral:misc_RNA from 1 species
GAUGAAGAACGUAGCGAAAUGCGAUAAGUAGUGUGAAUUGCAGAAUUCAGUGAAUCAUCGAAUCUUUGAACGCGCAUUGCGCCCUUUGGUAUUCCUUAGGGCAUGCCUGUUCGAGCGUCAUUUAAACCUUCAAGCUCAGCUUGGUGUUGGGUGACUGUCCGCUUCACCGCGGACUCGCCUCAAAAUUAUUGGCGGCCGGUACAUUGGCUUCGAGCGCAGCAGAAACGCGAACUCGGGCCCGUCGUAUUGGCUCCCAGAAGCUAUCUUCACAAUUUUGACCUCGGAUCAGGUAGGGAUACCCGCUGAACUUAAGCAUAUCAAUAAGCGGAGGA